ACUCCCAGAAUCGUAACACUGAUGUCCUUUGAACACUACAUAAAACACUCCAGAGGCAAUAGCCUGAGAUGUCGCAACAAUAACCAUGAUGAUAGUUAUGACAAGGAAGCCAUUCAACUGCAACAUGAAAAGGUGAGGAGGCCCAAAAUCCCGGCAAUCACAAGCUGCAAAAAAAGGAAAGUUAGUAAAAUAUACUGAGACCUCUUUCAAUAUUAUCUUGGAUGAAAGCCUAAGCCUAACAGAAAAUUAAAAAUUUUGUCGCGUAUGAAGUACAACGAAGAUAUAACUUGACUCCUACGCUCCGAGGUGACACCAACAGGAUGUUAUGAAAGACGGCCACUGCAUAGUGACUUAAAAACAACUUAAUAAAUCAAGUUUUGAAGACAGCAACUGAAAAACUUUGUUCGCUAUGGAUUUAUUAAGCUAGUACCACUGGAAAA